CAUUUCCGGUUUUCAUCGCGCGCCCCCUCCUCCUCCGGCGGGCUGCGGGGGAAGAGUUGCCCAGAGAAAUCCGGCAUUUUAGCGUAGCUGGCAUGGCAGGGGGGAGCUACCCUUCCCCAUCCCUCAAAAAAGGUAGCAGCCAAGACUCGUCUCUUGCGUAGUUUUCGUCUUCAAGUUUCUUAAAGACUAAAAGCAUAGUACGUCUGUAUGCAAGAUAAAGCAGUCGAGCUGGGUUUGGACUGGAAGAGGUGCUGGUGGAGAAAUGGAAGAUUGAUUCUUGCAGCGACAAUCUGCGGGGUGUUCUGCAUGGGGCAUUUUUGGCUGGAAAUCCAAACCAGCUUCAGUCCCUCUUCUUACCUACAAUAUUAAAUUGGCAACAUUGCAGGCUGUCUUUUGCUCCGUUCGCUCACCCCCUGGCCUAACAACCUGCAAUAUAGUACAGACUGUACUAGCAUUGGAAUUUGCAUUAGUAGAGCUAUACUUUAAAGGGUUAAAAAAAACUAACACAGAGACACACACAUACAUUUCCCACACAAAACCAGCAUCUAAACAGUAGGCACUCGCCUUUCUGUUGUUGCCUUUUGGUUCCGGUGCACAAGCUGCCGUUCACUUAUUUUAAAAAUCUGGAUUUCUCCUCCCCAAGAGAGAGCUAGAAGUGACUUAACGAAUGAAAACCUGGAAAUCUCCUAUACCGAGCCGUAGUCAUCACUCUGGACUUCUCAUAUAUCACUCUGUCUGAGCCGUCAUGGGCGGCGGCUGUUAUUGACCCCUAGUGGCUCCCGGCGAGCAAAGGCCAAAAACAUGCUGUUCCCUAGAUUCCCUUGGCUUGAAGGAGAAAGGCGAUGUUAUAAUGUCUUGGUUUUCUUGCGUUUAAAUGUCACCACACGUCUCAUUUAAGGGGGGGCUGCAAUGAGGGACUUGUCCUUAUUCUGUGCCCAAGACUCAGACCUCAUGUAAUUAUUCAAUGGAACACUUAUAUUUCUACUUCGACACAUACUGAAUGACUAUUGUUUUGAACAGUUUAUGGCAUCGACCACUCCAGGAACGAAAAAAUAGGUAGGAAAUGCAGCCCCUGAAGCCACCAGGAAGUAUAUUUUUAGCCCAUUUUUAAGAUUCCUGGAGUGGUCGAUGGCAGGCUGGCGCCUCCUGGGGAUCAGACUGGCUGGAACAGCUUGAUUAGCAGCCUGUUUCAGCCAGUAAGACCAAGGAAGGAACCAAUGGGCAAGGAGGAGGGGCUGGAAGAAGCUCUGUGCUUUGCAGGAUUUGCUAGCUGCCCAUACUGAAGUGUCCAGAAGGAUGUGGGAUCAUGGUUCAUCUCAAAAUGCAUCUUACAGACAAUAUUCUUUAUGCAACAUUUCUCUAGUAGAAGCUUGGGGCUCCAACCUUAAUUAAGCCCCCCUCCAUUAGUUUGGGUUGAGUGGCCAUAAAUUCUGUAAAUGUUCAUAAGAGAAGAAUCUGUUGUUCAAAAAUGCCAGAAAGAAGCCUCUGCAAAGACAUAAAAUUGAGCGAGCACCAAAGAAAACUGAAAAAAGGAGGGCAAAGGAUUAUACAGAAAAGCAAUUUCCCAUGCUGUAUGUCAUCUACAGAGGAUUCUCACAUGCAAACCUUCAUUGACUACUAAUAGAAGCCCAGGAACUGCAGUUUUUGUGAGAGGAGCUACAGAUCUUGAACAAAGAAUUCUCAACACCCUUACCAAACUACAAUUCCCAGGAUUCUUUGGGGGAGGCUGUUGGGAAGCAAAUUGCCUCAUUAAAGGGAGGGAGGCAGAUUGAACUGAUUCCAGCAAGCAUGAGCAAGGAGAAGGAAACUUAGCAGGAAACAGGCAAAUUGUGAAAUGUUUGUCAUAAUAAAGCCAGAUACUAAUAAUUUGAACAAGCCACUGAGAAAAAACUUCAGUUCCCAAAGAUUAAGGAAAUGCAAUGCUGGAACAAACUCUAUGUGCAUGCUUCUCCUAGAAUUCAUGCCUAACAGCUUACCAACAAAGAGCAAUUUAAAAUGAAAACUUUCAGCAGCAUGCCGCCUCGUCAGUAAUGAUUACGCACAAUUGAAAUCCAUGGAAUUUAGUCAUGUCUAACUUAUUCUGGAUACUGCCAGUGGGUCACAGAUGAUGAAUUCAUAUGUUCAGAAAUAACACAUGAUACAAUAUAUGAAAAGCUAUUAAAAAAAAAAAAACCCUUCUGUUUUACAUCCUGUGUUUCUAUAUCUAAUAAAGUUAUUUUAUUUGUUACAUGCAGGAGCACUGAAACCUGUGAUCAACAUCACAGGUUGAAUCAGUUUGAAUCAUCACAGGUUGAAUCACUUCGAAUCAACUCUGGCUAGUGGUGUACCUAGGUAAUUUUGGUGCCUGGACUGCACCCACCGCAAGGCUAGCCCCACUGCUAACUCUAACCCCACUGCUGUGGGGACCCCCCCCAUGAGACUCCCCACACUGCUGCGAGCCCCCUGACAUUGCUGUGAGCUUCCCCCCACCACUGGGAGGCCAAACCACCUUUCCCCCCCAAUAAUUCUAGCCACUGGAGGGUGGGAGGUGAGCCACGCAGGCCUCCCUGGCAUCCUCCCAUGGCAGUGGUGGUGGGAAUGGGCAGAGUGGGAGUGGCUGCUCAGCCUGCCCAUCCAGCCCCAGCGGCUCCAGCGCACCUGCACAUUUAUAACAGAGCACUGCGACACUAUUAUAACUGUGCAGGCACACUGGAGCACCUCACAGUUGUCAGAGGCCACUGGGCCGUCAGGCCCAGUGGUUGCUCCCACUCUGCCUGCUACUGCUGCUGCCACCAUGGGGAGGCCUGCUCCGCUCACCCCCUCAACCCCAGUGGCUAGAAUUAUUGAAAAAAUCAGUGGUUCAGCCUCGCAAUGGGACAGUGGAGGCAGGUGUGGGGUGGCGGCAGAAGGCUCCCCUGACCUUGGAGGCCACAGGCCAGGGUCCCAAGGUUCAGAGGUAAGAGCACCUCUGGCUCUGGCAUAUGCAAAAUUUAGAGCAUGGCUGCAAAGACUGCUGCUUUGGUGCAGCAAUCCCACCUCUCAUGAGGCUACUUCACAAUAGAGACAUACAAUUUUUAAGGUUCUGAACCAAGACUGAUAUAGUGGCAAACAUGCCUGUUGAAAAGAAAUAGAUUUAACAUCUUUAACUCCACUAAGUAUGCUUGUUAUUCUCAUUACUCUUGUUAAACACUCUUCUGCAAGUGCUGUAUCUACCGUUUAGUCACAAUUCUUCAUAACAUAUUAUUUUCCCAAAACUGAAAUUCUACUUUUUGUCUCAAACCUCUAAUAAAACUGUGUGUUUCCAGCACAACCACUUGGACAGUC